rnacentral:rRNA from 1 species
AUUGAACGCUGGCGGAAUGCUUUACACAUGCAAGUCGAACGGUAGAGGGGGCAACCCCUUGAGAGUGGCGAACGGGUGAGUAAUAUAUCGGAACGUGCCCAGUCGUGGGGAUAACGUAGCGAAAGUUACGCUAAUACCGCAUACGAUCUAAGGAUGAAAGCGGGGGAUCGCAAGACCUCGCGCGAUUGGAGCGGCCGAUAUCAGAUUAGGUAGUUGGUGAGGUAAAGGCUCACCAAGCCAACGAUCUGUAGCUGGUCUGAGAGGACGACCAGCCACACUGGAACUGAGACACGGUCCAGACUCCUACGGGAGGCAGCAGUGGGGAAUUUUGGACAAUGGACGCAAGUCUGAUCCAGCCAUUCCGCGUGCAGGAUGAAGGCCCUCGGGUUGUAAACUGCUUUUGUACGGAACGAAAAGGUUUCUAUUAAUACUAGGAGCUCA